UGAUGUGUCUAGAUUUUAUAUCUGACUGCUACUUCAAUAGCGUGAUAGACUCUUUUACACCCAUAGAAUAUGAGCACU